GGAGCCUAAACCAGGCUGCGUAAGAACCUCACCGCCUGGGACCCCUUUCCCGGAAUGCUGCCGCACUAACUGCACUGAGUGGAAGGAUAUAUGUCACGCACCGGAGAUCAAGGCUCGUACGGCAUUUGGAGAGCUCGGACAAACCGGACAAACUGGACCAAACGUAGAAAGCGAAGCCGCUAAUGAGCCAUGCGAGCUUGUACAGUGCAUUCAUGGAACUGUCAGCGUACAAACCUGUGAACCGGCGCCAGGGAAAACAAGCAAAUAUCCUAAUGAUCCGUUUCCUGCAUGUUGUCCCGGAUUUGAGAUGGGCGAAACAGAAGAUUGGGAUGAAUCCUAAGAACAAAUUACGACGUAGCAGCCCCGUGGAAAACUGUGUUUUGUAGUCGGAUUUCGCAAUAAACCUA